rnacentral:rRNA from 1 species
GAAUUCGAUUAACGCGAAGAACCUUACCUGGGCUCGAAAUGCAGAUGACAUCCGAUGAAAGUCGGCUCCCGCAAGGGCAUCUGUAUAGGUGCUGCAUGGCUGUCGUCAGCUCGUGUCGUAAGAUGUUGGGUUAAGUCCCGCAACGAGCGCAACCCUCGUCCUCUGUUGCCAUCAGGUCAAGCUGGGCACUCUGAGGAGACUGCCGGUGAUAAACCGGAGGAAGGUGGGGAUGACGUCAAGUCAGCAUGGCCUUUAUGUCCAGGGCCACACACGUGCUACAAUGGCGGAUACAAAGCGCUGCAAGCCCGCGAGGGUGAGCCAAUCGCAUAAAGUCCGUCUCAGUUCGGAUUGCAGGCUGCAACUCGCCUGCAUGAAGUUGGAAUCGCUAGUAAUCGCGGAUCAGCAUGCCGCGGUGAAUACGUUCCCGGGCCUUGUCACACCGAAUCACUA